rnacentral:lncRNA from 1 species
AACAAUUACUAAUAUUUGUUUCCAAGUAGAUAGUAGUAGAGGUCCUUGAAGUUUGGUGCACAAAUGUUACGUAUCCUAGCAUUUCUCUUAUUUGUUUCCAAGUACAAGUAGAAGUACCACUAGAAGUAAAAGUCCUAGAAAAUAGAAAUUCCCAGAACCCUAAUCAAACUGCAAUAUAUAAUGUCACUCAGUACUACAGUCUGGUGGUAUUCUUUUCAC